GCGCCCUUAGCUCAGGGGAUAGAGCAACUGCCUUCUAAGCAGUGGGUCCGAGGUUCGAUUCCUCGAGGGCGCGCCA
rnacentral:tRNA from 2 species